rnacentral:lncRNA from 1 species
CAAAAACCAACAGAAGAAACAACGACCAAAAACAAAAGGAGAAAUUAAACUAAAGAGAAAUGAUAUACUUUAGAUUCUUAAUUAAUUGCUGUCAUGUGCUUUUGCGGUCCAUGCUGAAUACAGUGGUGUGCAUGGUAAAUUCUACCAUGUUGCAUUUAGUUGUGGAUGGGUGAAGAAGAGGUUUCAGUUGCUCCUUAUAAUAAUCUGGUAAAAUGUAUUCAUUGAUGGCUGCGUCAAUCACACGUUUUGUUUCCUACCAAACUGUUGUGUGUCAAAUCUUCUCUACGUAUUUAUUUUUGUUGCAUCUCUUGUUUUGUUUGAAAUAGUAAACUGUUAACUACAGCAACCUGCUAACGUUGAGCAUGCUUCUGUCUUCUAUUUCAGCUAUUCAAAUCAACUAUGGCUAUACCACGUCCAUGUCUAUCCACCGUACUUUCCAACUAUUUUGAUAAAAUCAAAGAGAGCCACUGAGAUAAAGUUUAAAGGGAAGAGCUUUGUGGUGGACAAUUCGAAAUUAACAGGCUCUUCCUGCUAUGCAAGGCAGUGACAAGCUGAAGAUGGAGACUGCACAUCAUGGGAGAGGAACGUUUUUCACUCAGCUGAGCACCCAAAGACACUCAGUGUGCUGCACACCCAGCUUUCUGCUGAAAAGGGAAUGGAGGUCCUUUGGAAAUCCAACUGUGUGAUGGUGUCAUCCCUCCACAGGCUUCCAGUGGCCGUGCAAUUGGUUUACUCCACAUGGAAUCCCUGUAUUUUUAUGACAUGUACAGUUGGUUGUAAUGCCACACUACGUAUCAUGUACAACAUCAAAGAGCUAAGUAAGUAUAAAGUGUAUCUGAAAUGUGCCUAUCUCUGAGGUGGACAGAUGCCAAUCAGUGCACAAGGUAUUGUAUAACAUAGCUCGGGGCUUGAAAAUGUCGUAGGAUCCAUGGUACCCUUGAAGAGCAAACAGGGCCUCAGCUUCUGAUGUGUCACUCAACAGAUAUGAUGUAUAUGACACAUACGUUGCUUUAUACCACCAUAUAAUUUAGUGUGCUUAUGCAAAGAAGUGCAUGUGGGAUCGAUGGCAUAUGGUAUAUUAAGAAAGAGUAACACCAGAUUUAAAAAAAAAAUAAAUGUAUUCAUCCAUUAAAUGGUGUAAAUUAA